rnacentral:rRNA from 1 species
CCUACGGGGGGCAGCAGUGGGGAAUAUUGCACAAUGGAGGGAACUCUGAUGCAGCGACGCCGCGUGCGUGAAGAAGUAUUUCGGUAUGUAAAGCUCUAUCAGCAGGGAAGAAAGUGACGGUACCUGAAAAAGAAGCUCCGGCUAAAUACGUGCCAGCAGCCGCGGUAAUACGUAUGGAGCAAGCGUUAUCCGGAUUUACUGGGUGUAAAGGGAGAGUAGGUGGCAGAGCAAGUCCGAAGUGAAAACCCAAGGCUCAACUAUGGGAAUGCUUUAGAAACUGCGCAGCUAGAGUGCAGGAGAGGUAAGCGGAAUGUCUAGUGUAGCGGUGAAAUGCGUAGAUAUUAGGAGGAACACCAGUGGCGAAGGCGGCUUGCUGGACUGUAACUGACGUUGAGGCUCGAAAGCGUGGGGAGCAAACAGGAUUAGAUACCCCGGUAGUC